AUGGUCCUGCACGACGGAGCACUCCCAGUCGUCCAGCCGGCGCUUCGAGUACCAAUGGCUUUGAAAGAGCAGCUUCGACACGAGCUGGAGCACAUGGAAUGGAAAGGCAUAAUCACGAAGCUGACUGAGCCUACUGAAUGGGACUUCCCCCUUGGAAUGUGGCGGGUCGCCAGCAGAGAUCCUCCAAGGUUGCCAACUACGAACUCUGCUGCUGCCUUCGAAUGUGGACCAGCCCACCAAGUCAGCCGUCAGCGUCAAGUCACCUUCAGCUUCAAACCUCCGCGCAGACACUAGCUCCGCUCGACGAAGGUGAUGUCGUGCGAGCCCAGACCGGCACGUGGGCCACGAAAGCACAGGUUCUGGAACCGUCGACGUACCCCAGGUCGUACCAUGUCAUCACGCCGGAGGGGCGGUCCUUUCGGAGCAAUCGCAAGCACCUACUAUCGACUGGGGAGACCUUUCAGCGUGAUUAUGGCGAACCACAUGUUCCCCGAGGCCAGCAGCGAUAGAUGUAAUCUUUGUGGGGCGAGAGGGACCCUCAACCACAUAAUAUGGGAAUGUCCGUACUCCCCCGGGGGAACGCACAAAAUAGGUAGUAGAGACACCUGGGAGACCCUGCUGCGCAGCUCAGACUCUGAGCUCCAGCUCCGGCUCGUCCAACUGGCUGAAGAGACUACUGGGACCCAAGACCUCCCAGCCUGCAUAUGAGGCGGUGGCACUCGCCCCCUGACGUGCGUGUCGGGGAGUGGGUAGAUCACCUUAUCCGUUGGACAAUAAAGUUUAUUCUAUCUAUCCGCA